AUGUUAAAGACACAUUCCAUUAGCAAUUCUAUAAGUUCGGUGAUUGGGUAGAAAUAUUUUAUAGAAAAGAAAAUGAUCACUUGAUGAAUAUUGUCAGAUGAAAAACGUUUUGUUCUUCCACUAUUCUGUUUGAAAUAGAAGCAUGGCCAAAAGCUUUUCAUCCAUGCCAAAAGCCAACCUAUUUUGUUCCUACAGUUUCAGACUAGUGAAAAUUUCUCGUGCAAAAUUCUUGUUCUCUUAUUCUUGCGUAUAGACUUCAUUUGGAUAUUUAAGAGAAUCGGUUCAGAUUCGAGCGGUUUUGUAAUGAAUUCAAGGGGUAAAACUAUACUAGAGGCUUGAGUUAAUUUUGGAGCUUUCGAGGUAAGUGUUUGUUCUAAUUUUUGCUUGAGGGAGUAGGAUUAGCAUAUUAAUUGCUAAUUGCUAAAUGUGAAGUACGAUGUAUAAGUAUGAUGACGAGUAUCUAUGGACCAGAGUCUAGCAUAACUGUGGGUCUUAAUUGUGUAUAUCCGGAUUGUGUAAUACUUAUUCCCUGUUAAAUUUAUAAGUUUCAUAUAAUUAGUCUUUUCUUAACUUUGAUAUUUGGUGAAACAACGGUUUAACAAAGAAAGAACGUACUUUUAAUUAUGAAAUAAGUUUAAACAGCACAAAACGUUUAAGAAGUAGUAGUAAGAGAAAGCAGUGGAUAAAAAUAAAAAAUAAAAAAAAUCAAAAGAGGAAAUUAACAUUACCUGGGAAAGGAGAAGCAAGUAGUUAUCUUUCCUUAGUCUUCUAUAGAACAGACAGACAUCGUAACCCUUUAUUUAGCUAGUUGUGGGACGUAGAUAGAAGUGUUUUAAUCUACGUAGGAUUGGUAUAACUUUUGGAACUUCAACGUAUUGGCAGGACAUUGGUUAGUAUUAGAGUUCAACGCAAAUUUCUAUUUGAGAUAUGUUCUCAAUUUUACAAUUAUAUCCAAUAGUUAUUUAGCGUUUGAAUAAUUAUUUUAGCUAUUAAAGGAUAUAAAAGUAGAUCAAUAUUAUUUUAUGGGUAUUUUUAUCAUUCGACAUUUAGCGUAAAUUAUUCGUACUUUUAUAAUAAUAUAAAUGUGAAAGAUUUGAGGAAGAAUUAAACAAAUGAGGAAGUGUUGUAAUUAUUUCCCUUUCCGGGACGUAUUGUUCAGUGUUGCUAUUGCUCCCUUGAUGGGAUUUAGGUAUUAUAUGCUCUCCUUUGCCGGGAUAUUUGGGCUGUUAGCUGUACCCUUGCCGGGUUAAAGUGUUAUGCUGUUGAAUUUCCCCAACGGGGCUUUCUUUACAAAAUCAGAUAUUAUGAACUAUAAUAUGGGAUCGUGUGACACGCCGUCCACUUAUAUAUAUAUUUUAUUAAAUGAGAUCGUGUAGCACGCCGCCCACUUAAAUAUUAUGGAAUCGGAUCGUGUGGCACGCCGUCCACUUAUAAAUUAUGAGAUGGGAUCAUGUGGCACGCUGACCACUUAUAUGUAUAUUUUGGGACCGCGUGGCGCGCCGACCACUUUCUGAGUUGUGGACGAUACAGUUUUCAUUGUUAUUCUAAAUUAUUAGAUUUCAGUGUAUCUUCCCUAAGCAUACCCCCUCCCAGACUUAUUGAUGUUUCUGUUUUUAUUUCUGUUGCUCUUGCAUAUAUAUAUAUAUAUAUAUAUAUGUACAUGUUGGUUUUGGUAGGUCCUGUCCAGCACAUGGAGUCGGUUGUGCUGGUUCUACACUCUGUGCUCUCUUUGCGCAGGUACAGGUCACGGACAGCUGCAACAGCAGCAGUAGUGCGGGUGUUAGUAUCCUGAUCAUCGAGACACCGAAGUAGUUUUGCAGGCGUCCGCAGGACCCGGCGUCUCCUCUAUCUUUACUUUUCAGUAUGUUAUCUCAUGUAUUCGAGACAAACAUCUUUAUAUUUCUUUCAGACAGUUACUUUUAGUAUUCUUAGAAGUUUGUGAGUAUUGUGACACCAGUUCUUGGGUAGUGUAUUACGUUUGCGUAUCACAUCUAGUGAAAUUUACUAAGCCUUCCGUAAAAUUUAUUCCAUAGUAAUCAUAUUUUUAUUGCUAAUUGUGUUAAAAUAAAUAUUGUGAAAAAUGGAAGGAUAAGAAAGUGUUGGCUUUCCUAGCUCCCAUUAGUAGGCGCCAUCACGAUUCCGAUAGGAGAAAAUUCGGGUUAUGACAUAUAAAGUAUUGAAUAGUGUGUAUUAAUAAUGCUAUGAUUAAUAAUAAAGAAAUUAGUUAUGCUCCAAUUAUUUCUUAUCAACUAUUUAGUUUGAUGUAUUAAAAACAAUAUGCAUCGCAUAAUUUUUUUAACAAAUUAUU
rnacentral:lncRNA from 1 species